UGGCGGCGUGCCUAAUACAUGCAAGUCGAACGCACUCUCGUUUAGAUUGAAGGAGCUUGCUCUGAUUGAUAAACAUUUGAGUGAGUGGCGGACGGGUGAGUAACACGUGGGUAACCUGCCCUAAAGUGGGGGAUAACAUUUGGAAACAGAUGCUAAUACCGCAUAAAACCCAACACCGCAUGGUGUAGGGUUGAAAGAUGGUUUCGGCUAUCACUUUAGGAUGGACCCGCGGUGCAUUAGUUAGUUGGUGAGGUAAAGGCUCACCAAGACCGUGAUGCAUAGCCGACCUGAGAGGGUAAUCGGCCACACUGGGACUGAGACACGGCCCAGACUCCUACGGGAGGCAGCAGUAGGGAAUCUUCCACAAUGGACGAAAGUCUGAUGGAGCAACGCCGCGUGAGUGAAGAAGGUUUUCGGAUCGUAAAACUCUGUUGUUGGAGAAGAAUGUAUCUGAUAGUAACUGAUCAGGUAGUGACGGUAUCCAACCAGAAAGCCACGGCUAACUACGUG
rnacentral:rRNA from 1 species